rnacentral:pre_miRNA from 1 species
AGUGGGAUAGCUGGGUCAAAUGGUGGUUUCAUUGAAAAUUUUCCAAGGAAUCUCCAUACUGUUUUCCAGAUUGGUUGCACCAAUUUUCAGUCCCACCAGCAAU